rnacentral:rRNA from 1 species
AGCAGCCGCGGUAAUUCCAGCUCCAAUAGCGUAUAUUAAAGUUGUUGCAGUUAAAAAGCUCGUAGUUGAAUUUCGGGAUCAAUUAGUCGGUCGCGCCUCUGGUACGUACUGGUUUUAUUGGUUCCUCCCUUCUGACGAAACAUGAUGUCAUUAAUUUGGUGUCGUGGAGAAUCAGGACUGUUACCUUGAAAAAAUUAGAGUGUUUAUAGCAGGCUAACGCUUGAAUACAUUAGCAUGGAAUAAUGAAAUAGGACGUUCGACCCUAUUUUGUUGGUUUCUAGGAUCGACGUAAUGAUUAAUAGGGAUAGGUUGGGGGCAUUAGUAUUCAAUUGUCAGAGGUGAAAUUCUUGGAUUUAUUGAAGACUAAC